UGGAAGAUGAUCUUCAUACAAACUCUGACUUAUUAUUCCCAUUGAAUCAAUAAUUUACCAGGCAGUAUAUAUCUUUCUCUUUAAUCGAUUCAUAUACAUUAUUAUUUCUUGUUUUAUGAUUAUUAUGUUGCUUCUUAUGUUUCUCUUCAUAGGAGCAACCUCAGAGAAGUAUGGUUGUAUACGACCUCAGAGCCUCUCACUCUCUUAGCCCUCAUUCAAUCAUUCUUCAGCCCUAAAUUUCUAAUCCUUAAUCCAAAAAAUUCAAUCCCAGCCGAUCUUCAUCUUCGAUUUUGGCCACUCAGUCAAUUCUGGCUGGUGAGAGUCAUUGCUUGUGCUCAUCGAUAUCCUGCCUCUUCAUAUCAAUCUCUCUGAUGUUGUGUUCGAUGAUAAAAUUGAGGUCAUGCAAAUCAAUCAUUUCCAGGGUAUCACAGUUGGAAGUAACUCACUACACCAAGAUGACAGUUGAUAGAUUGUGCUCGCCACACCAAGGAAUCCACCAAGAAGAUAAGAGCACCUGAGAGGAUAAGGAAGGGAAAACAGCUUCACCAAGAUUUCUUAGUUCUAAGGUCUGGAAACUCCAUUUCUGAUUUGAAUGUUCCUUGGAAUUCAUUUCCUUCAAUUAAUGUUGCUAAUCCUCUGUCACGCCCAG